ACGGAAGGCAGCAGUGGGGGAUAUUGCACAAUGGGCGAAAGCCUGAUGCAGCAACGCCGCGUGAGGGAAGACGGUUUUCGUAUUGUAAACCUUUGUCUUUGGUGACGAAAAGAAUGACGGUAACCAAGGAGGAAGCCACGGCUAACUACGUGCCAGCAGCCGCGGUAAUACGCAGGUGGCGAGCGUUGUCCGGAAUUACUGGGUGUAAAGGGAGCGUAGGCGGGGAGGCAAGUCAGCUGUGAAAUACAUGGGCUCAACCGAUGAAUUGCAGUUGAAACUGUCACUCUUGAGAGAAGUAGAGGUAGGCGGAAUUCCGAGUGUAGCGGUGAAAUGCGUAGAUAUUCGGAGGAACACCGGUGGCGAAGGCGGCCUACUGGGCUGCAACUGACGCUGAGGCUCGAAGGCGUGGGGAGCAAACAGGAUUAGAUACCCUGGUA
rnacentral:rRNA from 1 species